rnacentral:rRNA from 1 species
CAGCAGCCGCCACGGUAAUACGGAGGAUCCAAGCGUUAUCCGGAAUCAUUGGGUUUAAAGGGUCCGUAGGCGGUCUUGUAAGUCAGUGGUGAAAGCCCAUCGCUCAACGGUGGAACGGCCAUUGAUACUGCAGGACUUGAAUUAUUGGGAAGUAACUAGAAUAUGUAGUGUAGCGGUGAAAUGCUUAGAGAUUACAUGGAAUACCAAUUGCGAAGGCAGGUUACUACCAAUUGAUUGACGCUGAUGGACGAAAGCGUGGGUAGCGAACAGGAUUAGAUACCCCUGUAGUCCCUGUCUCUUAUAC